UACGGAGGGUGCGAGCGUUGUCCGGAUUUAUUGGGCGUAAAGAGCUCGUAGGCGGUUUGGCAAGUCGGGUGUGAAAACUCCGGGCUCAACUCGGAGACGCCACUCGAUACUGCUAUGACUCGAGUCCGGUAGGGGAGUGCGGAAUUCCUGGUGUAGCGGUGAAAUGCGCAGAUAUCAGGAGGAACACCGGUGGCGAAGGCGGCACUCUGGGCCGGAACUGACGCUGAGGAGCGAAAGCGUGGGGAGCGAACAGG
rnacentral:rRNA from 1 species